rnacentral:rRNA from 1 species
GAAUAUUGAUGGGAUCUGCCCCUAGUACGAGAGGACCGGGGUGGACGUAUCUCUGGUGGACCUGUUGUUGCGCCAGCAGCAUAGCAGGGUAGCUAUAUACGGAAGGGAUAACCGCUGAAUGCAUCUAAGCGGGAAGCCCCCCUCAAAACCAGUUUUCCCUUGAGAGUCGUGGAAGACCACCACGUUGAUAGGCCAGAUGUGGAAGUGCGGUGACGCAUGAAGCUGACUGGUACUAAUUACUCGAUUGUCUUGAUC